GCUGUCUCCAUGGCGACCGUGGCUUUAGAUUGUUACUCUUUGCAAUAGCUCCAUGGUAACAGUCUACAGCCAUGGUCGUUAGGGGCAGGU
rnacentral:pre_miRNA from 13 species